AUUGAACGCUGGCGGCAGGCCUAACACAUGCAAGUCGAACGGUAACAGGAAGCAGCUUGCUGCUUCGCUGACGAGUGGCGGACGGGUGAGUAAUGUCUGGGAAACUGCCUGAUGGAGGGGGAUAACUACUGGAAACGGUAGCUAAUACCGCAUAACGUCGCAAGUCCAAAGUGGGGGACCUUAGGGCCUCUUGCCAUCGGCUGUGCCCAUAUGGGGUUAGAUAGUAGGUGGGGUAACGGCUCACCUAGGCGACGAUCCCUAGCUGGUCUGAGAGGAUGACCAAGCACACCGGGACUUGAGCACCGUCCAGACUCCCACGGGAGGGAGGAGGGGGGAAGAGUGGCCAAAGGGCGGAAGCCUGAUGCAGCCAUGCCGCGUGUAUGAAGAAGGCCUUCGGGUUGUAAAGUACUUUCAGCGGGGAGGAAGGGAGUAAAGUUAAUACCUUUGCUCAUUGACGUUACCCGCAGAAGAAGCACCGGCUAACUCCGUG
rnacentral:rRNA from 1 species